AAGCCGUGGUUGGGACAUUUCCUUAGCAUUUCCUUGAACCUCUCCCAAGCCUCAUAGAAGGACUCUCCAUCAAAUUGUUGGAAUUGCACAAUAUCCUUCUUCAUCUU